GAUGAACGCUGGCGGCGUGCCUAAUACAUGCAAGUCGAGCGAACAGACGAGGAGCUUGCUCCUCUGACGUUAGCGGCGGACGGGUGAGUAACACGUGGAUAACCUACCUAUAAGACUGGGAUAACUUCGGGAAACCGGAGCUAAUACCGGAUAAUAUAUUGACCCGCAUGGUUCAAUAGUGAAAGACGGUUUUGCUGUCACUUAUAGAUGGAUCCGCGCCGCAUUAGCUAGUUGGUAAGGUAACGGCUUACCAAGGCAACGAUGCGUAGCCGACCUGAGAGGGUGAUCGGCCACACUGGAACUGAGACACGGUCCAGACUCCUACGGGAGGCAGCAGUGGGGAAUCUUCCGCAAUGGGCGAAAGCCUGACGGAGCAACGCCGCGUGAGUGAUGAAGGUCUUCGGAUCGUAAAACUCUGUUAUUAGGGAAGAACAAAAGUGUAAGUAACUAUGCACGUCUUGACGGUACCUAAUCAGAAAGCCACGGCUAACUACGUG
rnacentral:rRNA from 1 species